ACUAGCUGAUGAAUCCUAAAUAGGACGAAACAAUUGUUCUGGAU
rnacentral:hammerhead_ribozyme from 1 species